GCGGCUGCUUUACACAUGCAAGUCGAACGGCAGCAUGACCUAGCUUGCUAGGUUGAUGGCGAGUGGCGAACGGGUGAGUAAUGCACCGGAACGUACCCAGUAAUGGGGGAUAACGCACCGAAAGGUGUGCUAAUACCGCAUACGCCCUGAGGGGGAAAGCGGGGGAUCGUAAGACCUCGCGUUAUUGGAGCGGCCGAUGCCGGAUUAGCUAGUUGGUGGGGUAAAGGCCUACCAAGGCGACGAUCCGUAGCUGGUCUGAGAGGACGACCAGCCACACUGGGACUGAGACACGGCCCAGACUCCUACGGGAGGCAGCAGUGGGGAAUUUUGGACAAUGGGCGCAAGCCUGAUCCAGCCAUGCCGCGUGAGUGAAGAAGGCCUUCGGGUUGUAAAGCUCUUUCGCAAGGAAAGAAAACUUAGCUACUAAUACUAGCUGAGGAUGACGGUACCUUGAUAAGAAGCACCGGCUAACUACGUGCCAGCAGCCGCGGUAAUACGUAGGGUGCGAGCNUUAAUCGGAAUUACUGGGCGUAAAGCGUGCGCAGGCGGUUCGAUAAGUCUGAUGUGAAAUCCCCGGGCUCAACCUGGGAACUGCGUUGGAAACUGUCGAGCUAGAGUGUAGAAGAGGGGGGUAGAAUUCCACGUGUAGCAGUGAAAUGCGUAGAGAUGUGGAGGAAUACCGAUGGCGAAGGCAGCCCC
rnacentral:rRNA from 1 species